UGGGGAAUAUUGGGCAAUGGACGCAAGUCUGACCCAGCAACGCCGCGUGAAGGAAGAAGGCUUUCGGGUUGUAAACUUCUUUUAAGGGGGAAGAGCAGAAGACGGUACCCCUUGAAUAAGCCCCGGCUAACUACGUGCCAGCAGCCGCGGUAAUACGUAGGUGGCAAGCGUUGUCCGGAUUUACUGGGUGUAAAGGGCGUGCAGCCGGGAAGACAAGUCAGAUGUGAAAUCCCGCGGCUCAACCGCGGAACUGCAUUUGAAACUGUUUUUCUUGAGUAUCGGAGAGGUAAUCGGAAUUCCUAGUGUAGCGGUGAAAUGCGUAGAUAUUAGGAAGAACACCAGUGGCGAAGGCGGAUUACUGGACGACAACUGACGGUGAGGCGCGAAAGCGUGGGGAGCAAACAGGA
rnacentral:rRNA from 1 species